rnacentral:rRNA from 1 species
CCUACGGGUGGCAGCAGUAGGGAAUAUUGCUCAAUGGGGGAAACCCUGAAGCAGCAACGCCGCGUGUAGGAUGAAGGUUUUCGGAUUGUAAACUCCUGUUGUUAGAGAAGAUAAUGACGAUAUCUAACGAAUAAGCACCGGCUAACUCCGUGCCAGCAGCCGCGGUAAUACGGAGGGUGCAAGCGUUACUCGGAAUCACUGGGCGUAAAGAGUGCGUAGGCGGGAUAGCAAGUCAGAUGUGAAAUCCCAUGGCUCAACCAUAGAACUGCAUUUGAAACUGGUAUUCUAGAGUAUGGGAGAGGUAGGUGGAAUUCCUAGUGUAGGGGUAAAAUGCGUAGAGAUUAAGAGGAACACUAAUGGCGAAGGCGACCUGCUAGACCAUAACUGACGUUGAUGCGCGAAAGCGUGGGGAGCAAACAGGAUUAGAUACCCGAGUAGUC